rnacentral:rRNA from 1 species
AUUGAACGCUGGCGGCAGGCUUAACACAUGCAAGUCGAGCGGGGUGAUGGUGCUUGCACUAUCACUUAGCGGCGGACGGGUGAGUAAUGCUUAGGAAUCUGCCUAUUAGUGGGGGACAACAUCUCGAAAGGGAUGCUAAUACCGCAUACGUCCUACGGGAGAAAGCAGGGGAUCACUUGUGACCUUGCGCUAAUAGAUGAGCCUAAGUCGGAUUAGCUAGUUGGUGGGGUAAAGGCCGACCAAGGCGACGAUCUGUAGCGGGUCUGAGGGGAUGAUCCGCCACACUGGGACUGAGACACGGCCCAGACUCCUACGGGAGGCAGCAGUGGGGAAUAUUGGACAAUGGGGGGAACCCUGAUCCAGCCAUGCCGCGUGUGUGAAGAAGGCCUUAUGGUUGUAAAGCACUUUAAGCGAGGAGGAGGCUCUUUUGGUUAAUACCCAAGAUGAGUGGACGUUACUCGCAGAAUAAGCACCGGCUAACUCUGUGCCAGCCGCCGCCGUAAGAC